UACCAGCACCCCGAGUGGUCGGGACGAUUAUUGGGCCUAAAGCAUCCGUAGCCGGUUCUACAAGUCUUCCGUUAAAUCCAGCUGCUUAACAGAUGGGCUGCGGAAGAUACUAUGGAGCUAGGAGGCGGGAGAGGCAAGCGGUACUCGAUGGGUAGGGGUAAAAUCCGUUGAUCCAUUGAAGACCACCAGUGGCGAAGGCGGCUUGCCAGAACGCGCUCGACGGUGAGGGAUGAAAGCUGGGGGAGCAAACCGG
rnacentral:rRNA from 1 species